rnacentral:rRNA from 1 species
GACGAACGCUGGCGGCGUGCUUAACACAUGCAAGUCGAGCGGAGCGGCGAACGGGUGGGUAACGCGGGAGUAACUGCCCCCCUCUCUGGGGAAACAGUUGGCAACGGCUGCUAAUACCGGAUAGUGGGGGAUGAAUGGGGGCCUAUCAGCUUGUUGGGUGGGUAGUGGCAGACCAAGGCAACGGCGGGAAGCCGACCUGGGAGGGGGACCGGCCACAUUGGGCUGAGAUACGGCCCAAUCUCCUACGGGAGGCAGCAGUGGGGAAUAUUGCGCAAUGGGGGAAACCCUGAGGCAGCAACGCCGCGUGCGGGAUGACCGCUUACGGGUUGUAAACCGCUUUCAGCCAUGACGCGGUAGUGGCAGAAGAAGCACCGGCUAACUACGUGCCAGCAGCCGCGGUAAUUC